rnacentral:misc_RNA from 1 species
UGAUGCUCGAUGACACCAUAUUUGGAUCCACAUGUUCCGUACACAUUGGACAAACUUCUUCACUUUCGAUGAUUCUGCAAAAAAACGAAAAUAACUGUCAACACCUCUGACAAAAAAUAGAAACAGUUUGCAGAUGGAUAAUGUGACGAACUUUGGAGAAAAAUUCACAAAUUCUUCGCCACAGAACUAAUGAAUCGAUGCAAAAAAUGAAAAAGAACUGGGAGCCACUCACCGCAGGAACUCAGUUGCGAUUUUGGGAAACUCAUAUUGUAGACAAACUGUAAAGUCUUCUUUGAGAAGUUGGCAUGGAUUUGCGUUUGGUAUUCAGGCCGCAUAAAGUCGAACGCUGCAUGCUUCAGUCCGGCUCUAUGGCAUUCUAUUACCGUCGAUGUUGAAAUUGGAACGAUAUCUGAAAUAGAAUUAGGCCAUUUGAGAGAAUGGGAAUUGUUUGGUGGCAAUUAUACUCCGUUUGUUCGAAUUGAAUUCUUCACCAUCAUGAACAAGAACAUCCUUCCUGACACUUGGAUAACCUUGUCAAGUCUUUCGGUGUUGUCGACGUUGUCUCUUGUCCUCUACCUCUGUAGCCUCCAGGCGUCGAUCGGCGUCCUAAAGCAAAGCCAACCAAGCGAAUUGAAGCACCUUGUAACAAGUGGUCAAAGCAUAUCGACGAUGGACCAACUUUACCUACGAUAAUUCCUCCUAGGAAAAAUGAAUCAGCAGAACCGGUCAUGCUAUGAUCGAAACAACUACAUCACCGCAGCGUAUUAUUGUUCAAAUUAUGUUCAGAAGGACCCAGGGAUCUCGUCUUCCCAAUGAGUGACAAAGUCAGGUUGUAUCAAGUUUGAAUGGCAUAGUUGAUUCACCCCAUGUUCACCGUGUGUUGUCGUAAUUCAUUUCUUGGCAAACACCUGAAGAAAUAUAAUUGAAAAAAUUAUUUUUAAUCAAUAACAGGAUCCCAUCUAUGUCCUGCUAGCGUCCAAUAAUAUGCAGGCAAUGUCACUUUAUCUUAAAUUCAUGUCAAGGUUUUUCCCAGUCUUUAAUCAGUUUUUUCUCCAUUUUUGAAUUAUUUAUUCAAUGAGCACAUCUCCACGAGUCCUUCGAUGCGCCUCAUGAUUUUAUAUCCUCCUGGAUUAAUUCCUGAUCGUUUUCUAAUUUUUUUCUAUUUUUUUCUGAUUUUUUCCGAUUUUUCCCCAAUUUUUA